rnacentral:rRNA from 1 species
CCCUUAGAUGUCCUGGGCCGCACGCGCGCUACACUGAUGCAUUCAACGAGUUUUACCUUGGCCGAGAGGCCUGGGCAAUCUUUUAAACCUGCAUCGUGAUAGGGAUAGAUUAUUGCAAUUAUUAAUCUUGAACGAGGAAUUCCUAGUAAACGCAAAUCUUCAAUUUGCAUUGAUUACGUCCCUGCCCUUUGUACACACCGCCCGUCGCACCUACCGAUUGAAUGGUCCGGUGAAGCCUCGGGAUUGUGGCCAGUUCACUUUAUUGGGAGUUGGCUGUGAGAACUUGUCUAAACCUUAUCAUUUAGAGGAAGGUGAAGUCGUAACA